rnacentral:rRNA from 1 species
GAUGAACGUUGGCGGCGUGCCUAAUACAUGCAAGUCGAACGGAGACGGUAGCAAUACGGUCUCAGUGGCGAACGGGUGAGUAACGCGUUGGUGACCUGCCCCGAAGUGUGGAAUAACAGAUCGAAAGAGCUGCUAAUACCGCAUAAUAUCCAGAGGAUUAGAUGCCUUUGGAUUAAAGGAUUUAUUCGCUUCGGGAGGGGCCUGCGUCCCAUCAGCUAGUUGGUAAGGUAAUGGCUUACCAAGGCGAUGACGGGUAGGGGACCUGAGAGGGUGGCCCCCCACAAUGGAACUGAAACACGGUCCAUACACCUACGGGUGGCAGCAGUAGGGAAUAUUAGUAAUGGGCGAAAGCCUGAACUAGCAACGCCGCGUGUGCGAAGAAGGCCUUCGGGUUGUAAGACACUUUUGAGAGGAUGAGGAAGGACGGUACUCUCAGAAUAAGUCUCGGCUAACUACGUGCCAGCAGCCGCGGUAAACGUAAGCGUG